rnacentral:rRNA from 1 species
UACGUAGGGGGCAUGCGUUGUCCGGAUUUAUUGGGCGUAAAGAGCGUGUAGGCGGUUCGGUAGGUCCGUUGUGAAAACUCGAGGCUCAACCUCGAGACGCCGAUGGAAACCAUCGAACUAGAGUCCGGAAGAGGAGAGUGGAAUUCCUGGUGUAGCGGUGAAAUGCGCAGAUAUCAGGAAGAACACCCGUGGCUAAGGCGGCUCUCUAGUACGGUACUGACGCUGAGACGCGAAAGCGUGGGGAGCGAACAGG